AUUGAACGCUGGCGGCAGGCCUAACACAUGCAAGUCGAACGAGUCGCGGACGGGUUAGUAAUGACUGUGAAUCUGCCUGAUGGAUGGGGUUAACUACUGGAAACUGUAGCUACUACCGCCUACCUGCGGCUGUGCCCGGAUGGGAUUAGCUAGUAGGUGGGGUAAAGGCUCACCUAGGCGACGAUCUCUACCGGGUCGGAGAGGAUGAACAGCCACACUGGAACGGAGACACGGUCCAGACUCCUACGGGAGGCAGCAGUGGGGAAUAUUGCACAAUGGGCGAAAGCCUGAUGCAGCCAUGCCGCGUGUAUGAAGAAGGCCUUCGGGUUGUAAAGUACUUUAAGUGGGGAGGCGUUACCCGCAGAAGAAGCACCGGCUAACUCCGUGCCAGCAGCCGCGGUAAUAC
rnacentral:rRNA from 1 species